rnacentral:lncRNA from 1 species
GAUGUAAAUUUAGGGAUAUAUAUAUAUAUAUAUAUAUAUAUAUAUAUAUAUCGAUCUCAUAUGUGAUUAUUUAGAUUUCAUUCUAACCCUAGAAACACAAGAUUUCUGCAAACCUCUUCCUUCAUCACUCAUUUUGUCUCUCUUAUCUCUAAAGAUGAUCUAUAGGUAGUUUUCUUCUUAAUCAUUUGCCUCUUAUGAGCACAGCUCUGAAUAAAUGUCAAGGAUCUCCUCAACUCUAAAGCAUUUGCAGAACUGGUAGUAACAGCGGGGACCCUGCAAAGCCCAAAGAAACAGGUUUCACCUGGGCCACUGAGACCGAAGCUUUAGCAUUCUCCAAACAGCAGGCAACCAGGGUUUUUCCAAGGGGAAGGAAGGGAUCAGGGAAGUGGCCUGUUUGUCUGGAGGUAUGUUCACAUAAACCCCAAGCCCUGGAGAAGCUGCGCGGCCACGGAAUCUUUCCUCGCUGCUCCCCCGCCCCCGCCAGUGGAUAAGGGGGGUGGGGGCAAGAAAACGCCUCAAAAGCGGGAGGGGAAAGGGUCGGGAAGGCAGAGUGGAAGAGAGGUGGUGGCCUCCAAAGCCUCUGCAGGUAGAUCAGACAAGUGGGCCGGGCGCUUGCUCCCGCGCACCCCACCCCGCCGCACCCCUCCGCGGCCCGGGCCUGGCCUUCCCGAACCCGCCGCUCCGCAGGUUCCCCGGGAGGCAAGCCGCGGGACCAGGAGCCGAAGUUACCUUGAAGCUUCUGGGGAAGAAUCGAAGAUGAUCUGUGGCUGCGCGGGGCGGGCGGCAGGCUAGGGGCCGCGGCGGGGGCGGGCGGCGGCCCGGGACGCACAGGGGGAGGUCCAGGCAGCGGCGGAGAGCCCCGGGCUACGGCAGUCCGGGGCGACGUCCCUCCGGUUCCGCGGUGGCGGCGGUGCUUCUAGGCCUCUCGGCUGGCCCCAAACCUCAGCGCUCCGAGCAGUGGCAGCGACGCGAGGAGGGGGAGGAGGGAGGAAGCCUGGAUCUGCAGCGGCAGCGAGCGCGGGAGUCGGGAGGAAGAGCUGGAGCCGCCGGAACCGCCGCUGCCAGAGCCGCCGUUCGCUACCCGCGCAAGGUCCCCGUCAAUGCCCCUUUCUCUCUCCUAUUGUCAAUAUCACCGGGCGGCUGAGUCCAUGGCACACACGCAACCGAACCUCCUGGCUGGCAGAGCCCGCCUCCGACGCCCGCCCACUGGAGACUUCAAACGGGAAGCAAGACUUCAUUGGUCCUCGGGAGCCUUCACUCCCCGGCUAGCAUGUUCGGCUGAGAUCUGCUCGGGGAUUGGCGGCGCGGGGAGGGGCGGAGAAACAGGAGGGGUGUGAAGAGACGAGGCCCGCGAUUGG